GACGAACGCUGGCGGCGUGCUUAACACAUGCAAGUCGAGCGGUAAGGCCCUUUCGGGGGUACGACGAGCGGCGAACGGGUGAGUAACACGUGGGUGACCUGCCCUCAGCUCUGGGAUAAGCCUGGGAAACCGGGUCUAAUACUGGAUAUGACUCCAUGACGCAUGUUGUGGGGUGGAAAGCCUUGUGCGGCUGAGGAUGGGCCCGCGGCCUAUCAGCUUGUUGGUGGGGGGAUGGCC
rnacentral:rRNA from 1 species